rnacentral:rRNA from 1 species
CGCGAAACCUCUGCAUAGGCGAAAGCCUGACAGGGUUAUUCUGAGUGACUUUCGCUAAGAAAGUCUUUUGACACCUCUAAAAAUGGUGUAGAAUAAGGGGUGGGCAAGUCUGGUGUCAGCCGCCGCGGUAAUACCAGCACCCCGAGUGGUCGGGACGAUUAUUGGGCCUAAAGCAUCCGUAGCCGGUUUUACAAGUCCUCCGUUAAAUCCAACUGCUUAACAGAUGGGCCGCGGAGGAUACUAUAAGACUAGGAGGCAGGAGAGGCAAGCGGUACUCARUGGGUAGGGGUAAAAUCCGUUGAUCCAUUGAAGACCACCAGUGGCGAAGGCGGCUUGCCAGAAUGCGCUCGACGGUGAGGGAUGAAAGCUGGGGGAGCAAACCGGAUUAGAUACCCGGGUAGUCCCAGCUGUAAACGAUGCAGACUCGGUGAUGGACUAGCUUCAUGCUAGUCCAGUGCCGCAGGGAAGCCGUUAAGUCUGCCGCCUGGGUAGUACGGUCGCAAGACUGAAACUUAAAGGAAUUGGCGGGGGGACAC